UUUCAUCAGGCAAGGUAUCCUAGGCUCUGAGUGACUGGAAUUUAAGUGGCUAAACAUUUCUUUGUAACAAGAUGUUUCUUGGAAUGCCUUAUGAAUCAUAAAUUGAUUACCUCUGCUGCAAUAUACAGCCCAUGAAAGCAGGGAUCUAGUCAGUCUUCAUGACUCUGAGAACACUACUAAGUGCUCAGCAGUUGUGUUUAGAAGGAUGCAUGACCACCUAAGUGAUGUGUGGAUAAAUAAACAGACAUCAUGGUAAGACAAGGCCCAUUCUCAAGUUCAGCCAUUUCACAUUUCACCGACUGGAAAAUCCCAUCAUGCCUCUAAAGUACUCAUCACUUUUUCACUCAUUCAUCAAUUUCCACUGGAUGUCUUUAAAUAGCCCGAAGAAAACUGUGGUUCCUCCUACACAAGUACACUUUGCCAUCUCUUAGGAAACAAUGGUAAGUACUGAUACUUAUUUAGCCAGCAAAUUAGAGAAAUGAUUCUGUGUCACCAUGCUGCUAUUAUCUUCUUUUCCAGGCAUUGAAGAAGAAGUGGAGGCACCUAAGUCCUUGUAUGACCCCAGGACACCUAGAGCAACAUGCUGAGUACACAGAAGCGUUCCUUCUCUCUUCAAAAAACAACCAAACUCUGGUCAUCUUCAUGGAAGCCUUCACUGGGGACUAGAAUUAAGACUGUCUUCCCUCAGCUGAUGUGUUUGCAGAGAAGCUCGGCUAAAGCAAGCGAAUUGGAAGAAGGGAGCCCAACGGUGUCAGGCAGCCCCACAGACCCA